ACUGGCAGGCUAGAGUCUUGUAGAGGGGGGUAGAAUUCCAGGUGUAGCGGUGAAAUGCGUAGAGAUCUGGAGGAAUACCGGUGGCGAAGGCGGCCCCCUGGACAAAGACUGACGCUCAGGUGCGAAAGCGUGGGGAGCAAACAGGAUUAGAUACCCUGGUAGUCCACGCCGUAAACGAUGUCGAUUUGGAGGUUGUGCCCUUGAGGCGUGGCUUCCGGAGCUAACGCGUUAAAUCGACCGCCUGGGGAGUACGGCCGCAAGGUUAAAACUCAAAUGAAUUGACGGGGGCCCGCACAAGCGGUGGAGCAUGUGGUUUAAUUCGAUGCAACGCGAAGAACCUUACCUGGUCUUGACAUC
rnacentral:rRNA from 1 species